GAAAAUCGAUCGGUUUUGUCAAAACUUCAACCCGUUCGUUCUCCUUCAAUUCUCCUCCAAAUUUGUCGAGUAAGGUAUGGAUUUCUACCUAUUUUCCAUGCUCUAGCUGAUGGUUGGGUAGGUUUGCAUCGAAUUGGACCGUAGCUAGCUCAGUUUUCAAAUUGAAAUUCGGCCGAUUUUCGACCUCCGUGUUCGGCCACUUCCGG
rnacentral:lncRNA from 1 species